UCUAAAUGUGCCCUUGGGUUUAGAUUUGUGACCUUGGCCCCCUGGGCAGCCCCAGCCACGUGGCCCAGAUGAUCACUAAGCCACCCAUUGUGUCAGAUGCAUUUCCUAUUUUGAAGCAUUUUUGUCAUGAUAUUAUGUUUGUAUUUACCCGCAUGAGGCAAAAAUUACGUAUUGGAUUAUUGUCUUCCCACUCUGAUGCAGAAGCAGAAGCUGCCCAUAUGCUACGGUGUCAACUAUGCAGAUGGGCCCAGAUCAGCCAACAUGACACACAUCAAGUUGAACAGAAACGCCCACAGGAGCCUGGAAGAAGAUGCCGUCAGGAAUUGACAAGAAGCAUUUCGGAUCUCAGCUCAUCUCCACGAGCUCAUCUGCAUACCACGCAGGUCGUCGCUGGGAGAAAGCGUGUCUUCAGAACGGACCGUGGUAAGACUUGGAAUAAGGAGUCAACCCCCGUUUCAUGCAAAGGAAACACUGAAGCUAAGUAGGGAACUGGGCACAUUAACACCAUCUGGGUUAAUAAGGCCACUGUGGACAGAGUUUAAAAUUGCUUCCACAAUUAAAGAGCCUGAGGAAAUCUAUAUGUUUGGGUCUGAAUGAGGACGCAUCCAAUAGUGAUGAGGAUUCUCUGUUUCUCUAAAAAUAAAAAAGAAACAGGGUGGGGUGGGGGUGGGGGU
ensembl:lncRNA